GCAGAAGACAGAGACCUUGGCUUUCUGCUGCAAAGAGAAGGACUGUUCUAACUGUUAUGGUUUUUUAUUUUUUAGAUCGAUUUCAACAGAAUCUCAACCACGGCAGGAGCCACUGAAGCAGACAGGAGCACUGAGAGAAUGGUAGAGUCGGAGCUCAGCAGGGCCGGGACCACAAACUGGGGCAAACACAUGUCAUGCGACUCGGCAUAAGGCUGAACUGGAAAAUCAACAAAAGGGGAGGCAGCGAUCCACAGACAAAUGCAGAAUUACAGCCCACUCCACCUACUUGUUCGGGGUCUCUCAAUCAAAACAAUAACAGAGGAUCGGGUUUGAUGACGUCAUGAGGCAGCGCGGGAUCAUGGGAACUGUUGUCUUCACCUCCACUGCUGAUGGAAAUCUACCAGAUGUGACUCACACACAAAUCAUGUUCAUGAUGAUAUCUGGAAACGUCUCCAGGAAGAGGAUGAGGCCCACGCCUUUGGCAACAGAGCGCUCUUACUCGCUUCUCACACAUGAAGCCUUAUCUGUUGAUCCAGAAAUGUGUUGUGGGAAAAUGAAUGCACCUGAAAAAAAGGAAACGGUUGAACUGGGAUAAUGAGCCCAGUCACUUCAGAUCUCCAGCAAAGCUUCGGCAGAAUGUGAUUAUCUCCAACACAGCCA